rnacentral:rRNA from 1 species
CAAAUUUUYUUAACAAAAAGUAUACAUAAUAGAAAAUUAAAUUUUUAGGCUGUUGAGCACUAUUAGAGAAGCUUGCUUUAAUUCGUCUUUACUCGUUAUUAUUUUCUUAUUAAAGUUUAUUUAUCUCCGUUAUCAGGGAUUAUCCGACCCGCUUGUCAUUAUUUUUAUUAUAUUUCAGGUCAAGAUAUAGCUAUAAUAUAAAUAAGUUAGCUGCAAUUUCAACGACAAAAUUUUAAGAAAUCUAAAAUUUUUAAAUGGAUUUAACUGUAAUUUUUUUUAUUAAAAAAAAAUGAAACCUCAAUGUUCA